rnacentral:rRNA from 1 species
CAAAACGACUUUCGGCAACGGAUAUCUCGGCUCUCGCAUCGAUGAAGAACGUAGCGAAAUGCGAUACUUGGUGUGAAUUGCAGAAUCCCGUGAACCAUCGAGUCUUUGAACGCAAGUUGCGCCCGAAGCCGUCAGGCCGAGGGCACGCCUGCCUGGGCGUCAC